rnacentral:rRNA from 1 species
AGCGAACGCUGGCGGCAGGCUUAACACAUGCAAGUCGAGCGGGCGUAGCAAUACGUCAGCGGCAGACGGGUGAGUAACGCGUGGGAACGUACCUUUUGGUUCGGAACAACACAGGGAAACUUGUGCUAAUACCGGAUAAGCCCUUACGGGGAAAGAUUUAUCGCCGAAAGAUCGGCCCGCGUCUGAUUAGCUAGUUGGUAGGGUAAUGGCCUACCAAGGCGACGAUCAGUAGCUGGUCUGAGAGGAUGAUCAGCCACAUUGGGACUGAGACACGGCCCAAACUCCUACGGGAGGCAGCAGUGGGGAAUAUUGGACAAUGGGGGCAACCCUGAUCCAGCCAUGCCGCGUGAGUGAUGAAGGCCCUAGGGUUGUAAAGCUCUUUUGUGCGGGAAGAUAAUGACG